GGGAACAGAGGCAGGAAAAUCUCUAUGAGUUUAAGUCCAGCACAGUCUACAUAAUGAGUUCCAGGACAUUCAGAGCUACAUAGCAAGAAUCUGUCUCAAAAGAAAAUUAUUUUUUCCCAAUGAGAUGCUACUGGUGUACACAUGAACCCUGAAGGGAAGAAACAUGGAGUAGGGUCACAAGGAGACAAUUGCUGGGGGUAAAGGCAAAGCCUUGGAGUGACAACAACUUAUGGGUAUUGAUUUUGUGUAUGCAUCUGGUAAGGCGUGCAGGUGGAGGUCAAAGGGUCAUUUGUGAGAAUCAGUUCUCUCCUUCUGCCAAAUGUAUCCUGGGGGUUGAGCUCGUGACACCAGUAUUGGUGCCAUGAUAGCGGCAGUUACAGUCCCUAUGCUGCCCCCAACAAGGUGGGUUCAGAGCACCAGGACCUAUCAGCCAUGAACUGGACCUUAUAAAACGUCAAUUGAGAACUCACUUCAGAACACAACAGUUUAGAAGCCAGGAAGAUGCAUGAGCCUUCUGCAGCUCACCAAAGCCUGUCUGCAGGUGAAUUCCCAACAGUGGACUUGGGUUCCAGGAGUGUGCUUCUAUGGAGGUAACCCCAUUGAUGGGAGGGAGGGUUUGUCAUUCAUGAUGCCAUUAGGCUAUGUCUCAGAGAUAUUUAUGGUGCUAGCAUAUACAGUAUAGGGGUUAUUUUGCCUUUUGUAUUCGGAACUGCCGAGCCACAUAUUGAGCCGAUCUAUGUUUUAAAACCAGGCACUCCACUCUUAACUUGUAAAGAGGCUUGCUCUCUGUGGGGCAGGGGAGGGGGAUCCUGCCCUUGUUCCUUCAAAUCCUCCUUAUGGUUAUGAUCAUGAUCCUCCUGUCUCAGUCUUCCUGAUAAUCCAUGAGCAUGGUCCACCUGCCUCAAAAUGUACCUGUUGUCAAGUCCCUCCACCCCAGGUCCCACCUUUCUACUUCUAAGUCUGUGAUAUGAAACUGAACCCAGUGAAUGUCCAGCAGGGUAAGGGAAUGUCCAAUAGGGUAUGACCACUUAGCACUAGAGGAAACGAAAUCCCCUUCUCCAAGAAGCGAGAUGCCCGUCUCUUGGCUGCCCCUCCAACCCCAUUUCGUGAGGUGAACUGUGAGGAGGUCACACUCUAACCCUUUCCUGAGCCAGAUCUUGGCAGCGUUCUCAAGGGCAUCUAGCAUGUAUCUCAAUGAGCUAGCCUUGGCCUGGGACCUUCUCAGUGAUCUUAGCUGAGAAAGUCCCUGCUCGUCCUGUGAUGGUGCUGAGUGUCUGGAAUGUUCUGGAGCCUCCUGGAGAGCAGCAGCAGCAGCAGCACCGCUUUCUAUCGCCGGGAAGUUUGUUUGGAAGAGAGUGACGGACAGGCACAAAAUGGCUGAAGGAUUUCUGACAGACAAAGCUUCUCGUUAGUGACUUGAAAGGACGCCUUGAUCCAAAAUAGUAUUAAACAAGUGUUUCUUCAAUAUGAGAUCAUUAUGUGUCUCUUCUAAAU
rnacentral:lncRNA from 1 species